rnacentral:lncRNA from 1 species
UCACGAAAAACAUCGCUCAACUCGCCCAUAACCGCGGGCACGGCUAUUCGAAUAGUUUUACUCUGGCCAGAGGUGUACCACUGUACCCACAAGACACGAUUCCACACAUGUUGCCAUGCCCCGAAAUACCACCACGGCAUUGCAAAGGGGGAAAUCGUGACAAUACCCUCUGCACAACACAACUCAAAACAGUGCACCGUUCCUGGAUCAUAAUCACCCCCUCUACAACCAGAGGCAUGGACUCCCCAGCGACCCCCACGGACUUCUCGCCGCUUCUCAGUCUGGCACUCCAUAAUGAAUCAUGCUAUACAAAAGAUAAAGCCGUUGCCCACGCUGGCUUGUGGUUGGCACGAUAAAUGUUUCACAACAGUAGCUCGCGAACCGGUCCUUAAUUGUCAUGAGCACAACCAUCAAAACCAUAUACUCACAACCCACCUUAACCAGGUUUUAAUUAUCAAUUAAUUAACAUCACACGAUUAAUCAUCGUGAGCUACCAUUAAAUAUAACCAUAAUUAAUAAGAAUAAUAUAAUAUAAUUUAUAUUUAAUCCCCUUUAAUUAGCUAAUGUUUCUAAGCAUGGCUAAGCAAACAUACAUAUAGCAUUUAACUGAACCAAACCAAUAUAUAAGGUUCAUGCUAAUCAAAUUAUAACCCAUAGAAAAAUAAGAUCAUCUUCGGCCAUUAAUUAACGGGGAAAGGUUCACCACCCGAUGACAUUCAAAAAUAAUGCAUAGUUGAAAUAAAAUAAUAGCUUUAAACGGGUUCAACAUGCUCAAAGGGUUGUUUGGGAUCUGUGUGACUUGCCUUGAGCUUCCGCAAACACUUCCGAACCUUGCUCAACGAAAACGCUCUCCUCCGGAACGUCGGAAACUAAAGCGAAAGAAUAAAAAUCAACAAAACAGUACAAAAACAAGCAUAAACAGUAUAUGUGGAUAUUUUUAACAUGUAGAUCUUGAUUUUAGAAAAAUUUAGCAACUUGAACCACUCGAAACGGAUCUACAGUUAUUUAGUUAUGAUUUUCCGAAGAUUUAAUCUAUUAGAAAAACGGGAAAAAGAAAAAACCGAUGAUGACAUGAUGACAUCACCAAAGGUGGCCGGCUAGGAUGGCAAGCUCGCCGGAGAUUGGAUGAUCGGCUGCGAAUUUGGAGGACAUGUACGCGUAGAGGACGACGAGACGAACCCAACGGUACUCACCCUCGAGCCAAACGACAAACGACGACGGCCGGCGACGAAGGGGCGGCGACGGCGGCUCGGGAUAACCGGCGACGGCGAGCUACGGCGGCCGGCGACGAAGGAGGAGGUGCGGCCGAGCUUCUCGUCGCUCCCACGCACCUAAUGGCGGUGGCGGCAAGCGGCGGCGACGGCGGAGACGGCUGCGCGGCGGCGCCGGAGAUGGCCGGCGACGGCGGCGAGGCUAAGCAGCGGCGGCGCGGCGGCUAGGAGGCACGGGAGAGGACGGGAGUUGGGGCAAACGAAAGAGGAGGACUAGGGGGUCCUAGUUAUAGCCUUGGAUUGAAGAGAUCGGACUCCUCCUACAAGAAAUCGAUCCGGGAAAUCAAAAACUCGGUUUUGGAGAUAAACUCAAAAACGAGUUCGAUUCGGAUAAAAUACUCAACGAUUAGCUCCGAUUUUUGGGGGUAAAGAUAGAGGAGGAUAAGAGGAAUAUUUCCCCUCAACUAAUUUGGAAAGAGGAGCAACGAGGAGGCCGGAUUUGGAAGGAGGAGCGGCACGGCUGCACAGGCUCGGGACGGCUCGGCUCUGUCCAGGGGUUGAAGACAACACUGUAGCGAGAGGGAGGACAAACAGACUUCUAUGCGGGCUGAGAGGAAGGGACAGAAUGGGCUGGAUUCGGCCCAAGCUGAGUAGGAGGAUUUUUAUUACUUUUCCAAUUAAAUUAAUCAAUGAAAUGAUCUUUGAAUUGUUAAAAAUACUUCCUAUGCCCAAAUAAUUCCAAGAAAAAUCUUGAAAAUACUUGGACACUCAAAGUACUUAACAAAAUUAUAAUCAGACCAUUUAAUGAUUAAUUUAAUAUGUGGAUUAUUACUGAAAUGUUCUUUGUAUUAUUAAAAUUAGGAAUUGAGCUCCGAAAAAUCCGAGAAUAUUCCAGAGAGUAUAAUUAACCAUGGAGAAUUUAAAAAAAAAAAUCCAUCCAUGCUUUAUAUUUAGGAAAUUUUAUUUCCCACAUUUAACUUCACUUGUAAAUUAAUGAACAUUUAAUAUAAAUUCUAAUAAUAAUUUAUUAAAUAAUUUAUAAAUCCUAAAACGAAAAUCAGGGUGUGACAAAUCUACCCCCCUUACAAAGAAUCUCGUCCCGAGAUUCGGAACGGCUAGAAAGAAAAGGGCAUAGGUAAACUGCAUUCUAUCUUAUUAUUCCAUAACUCAGAUAAUUAUUCUAAGGCUUUAAAGAAAACUACUGCUGCUUUGAAACUGGUGGCUGAGCUGUAACACUUGAAGACGCAACUCUUGAAGACGCAACUGGCACUGCAUUGGCUCCUGUGACGACAAUGUUGUUGACUUGCGGCUGCUGAUGCUUUGUCUUCGGACACUCUCUUGCAAAGUGGCCUGGCUUGUAACAGUUGAAACAUACCUGCUGCUCCCUUCCACUACUGUUAUUCUCUUGAGACUGAUCCUGCUGAACUGGCACUAAUUGAGUAGCUUGCUCAACAUUAUCUUCAUUGCUUUCCUUAGUCUCUGAUUUGAUCUCACCACCGAUGUUCAACUGUUGCGACUGUCCUUGACCAGCGGAAGAAGAUUCACUAAUUUGGAGUGGCAUGAUACGCUGCCUCUGGCUACUACCUUGUGCCUCCUGGAAAACAGUCAUUUUCCUUUUUCGGUUAUCCAUCCUGUUCUUCUUGUCUUCAAGUCGAAUUGCUUUGUCAACCAGCUGCUGAAAAUCAACAUAGUCAUGGGAGAUCAACGUAACUGACAGUUCAUCCUUCAGACCUUACAAGAACUUCUCCUGCCUUUCCUCGUCAGUACGCACAUCUUCUGGAGCAUAACGUGCCAGACGAUUGAACUCAUGAAGAUACUCUGCCACGGUAUGAUCCUUUUGCUUCAAAGCCCUAAACUCACGCUUCUUCAAAGCAACAACUCCUACAGGUAUGUGUGUCUUCUUGAAUGCUUCCGUGAACUUAGCCCAAGUGAUUGGUUGUCCUUCUGCUCUGCCUUGGCGAAAAUGAUCCCACCAUUCAGCAGCAGGACCAUGCAAUUGAUGCGAAGCAAAAGAAACUUUCUCCUGCUCAGUACACUGGAUCAAAUCCAACUUCUUCUCCACCGCAUGCAGCCAAUCUCCUGCUUCUACUGGAUUGGUGGUGCUUGAAAAGGUAGGGGGUCUCACACGUAAGAAAUCUGCCAGCUUGUUUUGGGGAGGUGGGGGUGGAUUCUGGUUCUGAUUGUUUGCCUGCUGAUUCUGUGCCUGCUGCACUAACAGAUUGAUCAGUUGUGUUUGUUGGGCCAGAAUCUGAGCUAGCGUGGGAUCUCCUCCAUUGUUAGCAGCUCCACCUCCACUUCCACUUCCACUUCUGGUGCGCGUGUUCACCAUCUGUUGCAUAUUAGAGAAGAUAGAAGGAGAGGGGUUACACUAAAGACAAGACCUUAACCAGUUUAACACUGAUCUGAUGUGUGUAGACCAUUAUAUUGUUCAAGUUGAUUAAGCAAGCAACCUAGUAUAGUUACACACUCAUCAAUGAACUACUCCAAUGAUGGGAAUGCAACCAUACCUACACACAAAGCAAACAACAAGCGUUCUACCCUACUAACUAUUCUUCAAAGACACUUUAGCGGCAUAGGUUCUAAGGUAGGAUCCAAACUUCAUUCCAUCUUGACCACUUGGCACUUCGGUUCUUCCUCGAUCCACUUUACUGACCUCUAUAAGUUGACCUCAUCAACAUCUUCUAGUUUCAACAACUAGUUUCAGAACUACUCAAGUUGAACGAGAGAGGAGAGUAGACAAUGAAACAAUUUGCAAAGAAUUCUAGAUAAGGAAGAAAGGAGAAAUUUUCACAAAUCAUUUUUGUUGGAAAAAUUCGUCCUUAAAGUUUGACCAUUUGGCUUAUCCUACAGUCGAGAUGGCUCUGAUACCAACUUGUCACGCCCGAAAAUUCACUAGUAAUUUCCGAACUAAUUUGUGCAUAAAAUCCUCGUCCAGGAAUCAGCCGAGGUACACAAACUGACAAUUUAAUAUACAAAUCCAUCUUAAUAAUAACGUUACAUACUUACAAAGAAAAGAAAAUAGCAGCGGAAUUAACUGUCUAGCGAUGGCUUCAGCUCCACUCCCACAGGCAGCUCAACUGGGGUAUAAGCCAAACGUCUUCUCCUUCUGGAUCCUUUAUCUUCAACUGAGGUUUGAUGAUUAUUGCAAGAAUGAGCAUAUGACAUACUCAACAAGCCACACAGCAAAUAUGCAAGUGCACAUGGAUUCCAAAGGAUGGCAUAAUAUAGGCUCAUUUGCAAAAGCAGCAUUUAGCAAAGAUUUAAGAUAAGUAAAACAGUAGAGUAGUUAAUCAUCAAUUUUAAUCAACACUAAACAGCACAUCCAUGCUGCUCAGGCCUAACCAAACCUGAACAACCAACCCCGGUCGUACAGAUCAAACCUCCAAACCAGGAAUUAUCCAUUCCAAACCAGGAGUCAAAUUAAUUAUCACAUUAUUAACAUUGAUGAGUAGUGUGAGACUAAUCACGAAAAACAUCGCUCAACUCGCCCAUAACCGCGGGCACGGCUAUUCGAAUAGUUUUACUCUGGCCAGAGGUGUACCACUGUACCCACAAGACACGAUUCCACACAUGUUGCCAUGCCCCGAAAUACCACCACGGCAUUGCAAAGGGGGAAAUCGUGACAAUACCCUCUGCACAACACAACUCAAAACAGUGCACCGUUCCUGGAUCAUAAUCACCCCCUCUACAACCAGAGGCAUGGACUCCCCAGCGACCCCCACGGACUUCUCGCCGCUUCUCAGUCUGGCACUCCA